rnacentral:rRNA from 1 species
UACAGAGGUCUCAAGCGUUGUUCGGAUUCAUUGGGCGUAAAGGGUGCGUAGGUGGCGCGCUAAGUCAGGCGUGAAAUCUCGGGGCUUAACUCCGAAACUGCAUUUGAUACUGGCGUGCUUGAGGACUGGAGAGGAGACUGGAAUUCAUGGUGUAGCAGUGAAAUGCGUAGAGAUCAUGAGGAAGACCAGUGGCGAAGGCGGGUCUCUGGACAGUUCCUGACACUGAGGCACGAAGGCCAGGGGAGCAAACGGG